GUAAUAUGAAUUGCAGAUAUGACGUGAAUAUCGAAUCUUUGAACGCACAUUGCGCCCUCUGGUAUUCCGGAGGGCAUGCCUGUUUGAGCGUCGUU
rnacentral:rRNA from 1 species